UACGAAGGGGGCUAGCGUUGUUCGGAAUUACUGGGCGUAAAGCGUGCGCAGGCGGUGAUGUAAGGCAGGUGUGAAAUCCCCGGGCUUAACCUGGGAACUGCAUUUGUGACUGCAUCGCUGGAGUGCGGCAGAGGGGGAUGGAAUUCCGCGUGUAGCAGUGAAAUGCGUAGAUAUGCGGAGGAACACCGAUGGCGAAGGCAAUCCCCUGGGCCUGCACUGACGCUCAUGCACGAAAGCGUGGGGAGCAAACAGG
rnacentral:rRNA from 1 species